AUUGAACGCUGGCGGAAUGCUUUACACAUGCAAGUCGAACGGCAGCACGGGUGCUUGCACCUGGUGGCGAGUGGCGAACGGGUGAGUAAUAUAUCGGAACGUAUCCAAUAAUGGGGGAUAACUAAUCGAAAGGUUGGCUAAUACCGCAUACGCCCUACGGGGGAAAGCUAGGGACCUUCGGGCCUGGCGUUAAUGGAGCGGCCGAUAUCUGAUUAGCUAGUUGGUGGGGUAAUAGCCUACCAAGGCGACGAUCAGUAGCUGGUCUGAGAGGACGACCAGCCACACUGGAACUGAGACACGGUCCAGACUCCUACGGGCGGCAGCAGUGGGGAAUUUUGGACAAUGGGCGCAAGCCUGAUCCAGCCAUUCCGCGUGAGUGAAGAAGGCCUUCGGGUUGUAAAGCUCUUUCGCAAGGGAAGAAAACUUAUCCUCUAACAUAGGGUGAGGUUGACGGUACCUUGAUAAGAAGCACCGGCUAACUACGUGCCAGCCGCCGCCGUAAUAC
rnacentral:rRNA from 1 species